GGUAGCUAAAUGCGGAAGAGAUAAGUGCUGAAAGCAUCUAAGCACGAAACUUGCCCCGAGAUGAGUUCUCCCUGACCCUUUAAGGGUCCUGAAGGAACGUUGAAGACGACGACGUUGAUAGGCCGGGUGUGUAAGCGCAGCGAUGCGUUGAGCUAACCGGUACUAAUGAACCGUGAGGCUUAACCUUACAACGCCGAAGGUGUUU
rnacentral:rRNA from 1 species